rnacentral:tRNA from 1 species
GGAGGGAUGGCCGAGCGGACGAAGGCAACGGUCUUGAAAACCGUAGCGCGAAGAGCGCCGGGGGUUCAAAUCCCUCUCCCUCCG